UUUUAUUACUUUGUGAUACUUGUUUAGCUAUUAAGUAUACUUUAUUACUCAGUCAGCUUUUAGUAUACGUGUUUACUUCUUUGUGAUACUUGAUUAACUGCUUAGCAUACAUUAUCACACAGCUAGCAUCAUAUUUAGCUCGGGAAUAAUAAUUUCUUUGAGCUAGUAGCAUUUCAUAUAGCUCGGGUAUGAUGAUGCUCUUGAGCUAGCAAUUCUACUUACCGAGUAAAAUCGGAGACUGGUGCACCAUGCCAGGCAGACUUAUUCCAGGGGUAAGCUAAGAAAACGAGUCGAUGAUCUUGUCUUUUAGACUUACAGUUACUCUAGCUUUUCUCUAGUCUUUCCAGUUGAGGUGAGCCACCAGCCCACCACUAGUUCCUGGAGGCAACUCUAUCUUCUAGUAGACUUGGAACAUUCUUUAUUUUGAGCAGCAACUCGUAUUAGUUGUAUUCAGAUUUAGUAGCUCCAUGACUUAGUCUUUUCAGUGAAUUAAUGGGAUGUUGUUUAAAUUUUUAA